UACUGAUCUGUAUUUGAACUUUUAAAAACAUUUUCAUUUGUAUUUGAUCUACUAUUCAAAUUAUUUUUUGUGCAACUUCCCGCUCA